rnacentral:lncRNA from 1 species
UUUAAGCUGGCUUUGAGGAUUAAGUAUAUGGCAGGUCCUACAUCAUAUUACGAUGUGCAUCGCAUGGCGUAGAAACUGGCAAUUUUCUAACUUUUAGAGUAAGUGACGUUUGCGUUUGGUGACGUGACCUCAACAGCCAAUUAAAAUAAGGCGGUAAAGUGUUUAUUGUAUGGCGGGACACAGAAUUGAAAAAAAAAGCUUUUGAUAGAACUUGUUAAUAGCCGUUGUGAUGAACGAUAAGUUGGGAUGUUUCUGUAUUCCUUACAUUUUUUGGAAUAUUGUAACCAAUUAACGAUUUAUUUUAUCUAUCUUCUGUUUCAAUUUCAAAAUGCAUAAUUUUUUAGACAAAAUUCAUUAUAAUAGCAUCGACCUUGCGGUUCUUCGUUUAAAAUUUAGGAAGCGAACCGCGUUCGUUACAAUUUCACAAAAUUUUUUAACGGGUGGGGCAAAAAGACAUAAGAAAAUUCUAUAUCGAGCAGAUAAGAUACCGAAAACGAUUUUAUUUACUCGGCGAGCCCUGCUUAACCGAUAACUGAACACGUACUUUUCAAAUGGAAUAUUUCUCCUACUGUACUGUUUCAUAAUUUUCCUUCGACGCGCCCCCAUAAAGUACGCAGGCAAGUAAAUAUGUAAUUUUGGUAUCGUUGUCUAUCUCUAUUUUCCAUAAACUAUAAUUUGAAGCAAAGAAAUACUAACUGCCAUUCUAUGUUUUCGAAUAAGAGGAACCUUGCUUCAACUGUGGCUCGUUGUUUCUCGAUAAUUCCGGUUGUUAGAUUGUGCGGGUUUAACAUUACUCUUCGUUGAAAUGUGCAAGGUAUGGUAGAUAGUUCUGUAUUUCUUAAAAGAGCCUCUGCUGUGCCCAGAAUUAGAAUAUAACCGUAUAAUACAAGCACUUCUCCCUUUAUUGUAGAAUAAGUAAUCAGUCUUGUUGGCUAUGCGACUUAUAGAAAGUACUGGCAGUGCCUUUUCUGGAUAGGUUUCUUAUUCGUGUGAAAAGAUAGUGUGAAGUGAUAAGGGUAUAUGAAGUAGAAGAAUUUCCGUAUCCCUCACACCAUCAUGAGUGCUGUUUCUUCAAUUUUUGGGUAUCGUUGUUAGGAUUAUUGUGCAGCCGACGCGAAAUAUCGGUCUUUUUUGUCCGUUUGCAUCACUCUCAGAUCUGUCUUGUUUGCAUACGGUAGUCAAAAGCAGUAGAAGUGCUGGAUUGUAUGGCUCAAUACUUGUUCGAAAUUAGGGUGUUUUUGAAGCUCUUAUAGGUUUUGUGAAGAUACAUUUGAGCGAUUGAAGUGGAAUCGUUUUUCUUCAUUUGUACCAAAGCUUUGGACAAUGAUUCGGAGCAGGCUUUCGAAGUUUUGAUUUGGAGGCAGUACACGAUUGAACAAUUUUAGAACCAUGGACAGCCGUUUAAAAGUGAUUUACAUUCAUUUGUGUCAUAUUCCCAAGAUGUUUCUUAUGUUGCCGUACAUUGCGUGUGUCGACCGCACGAGUUCGUACGGGGGAUGUUUAGCACCUCAAUAUUUAGAUGACAGAAGAUAUCUACCUCUUGGGUUGGUUGCAAAUUUGCUCGACCUUGGGGAUCGGAUGCUCAUUGAUUAAUAAGGAGACACUGGGUGCAGACUUACCGUUUCGAAAGAUGCGCUUACCGAGUUGGUUGGGCACCGCCCUUUCGAUCUCGUUUUUACGGUCUUUAUGCUGUUCCAUUACUAUAGGCUUAUUACUAGUAAGUAUGCUGAUAAUGCACCUGAAGCAGUUUCAUUGUAAACCAAAUAAAAGAAAAAAAAAAUAAUACCCCACAAAAGAAUGAAGGACGGAGGACAAAUGUGUAGUUGCCACGACGACAUGCGUGCCUGACGCCGAUUCAGAGUAAUUGGCCUUGGAACAGACAGACGUCUCGUCUGGUUUCAAAUGAUGAACAGUCUAAUUUUUCCGUAGUUCCGCUGAAGAUAUUUCCAACAAGGCUUUGACGAAGCGAUGACGUGAAGUUUUUUUCUUGGAUCAGUGAGCAGGUCGUUGAAGUUGAUGUCCAGGUAAAGUGGACAAUCCAUUGAGAUCAUCUUCUAUGACAUAAAAGAUUUAGAUUCUAUAUUGUUCCCCCGAAAAGUAACCUUAUUAUUCUGUUAAGGGAAAGUCGCACCGCGUCCUUGGAGAACUAUUCUGCCCAAAGUAACCUUAACCGGCAGUCGUCCCAGGCAACGGACCAUGUGGCAUAUAUAAUUUUGACGAUUUUUUUGUCAAAUUUGCAGAGUUUGGCUUGGAUUUAAUCAAUCGCAAUAUUUUCUAGCUUACUAUUGUGUCGAGGGCAUUUCAAAGAAGAAACCGCCGGUCUGUAUGCUGAUCAACCAGCUGUUUACUUUUCCACCGCUGAUAAUUCCGCUGGUGUAGUGUGAAUUUUCGACUGGUAUUGAAACUAGUAGAUGUUCUCAGCAGGUUUUCAAGUGACUUGAUAGUGCGUUGUUGGUUUUCCGGUAAUUAGUAAACUAUGUAAGUCUUGAUUCAAUAUCUGCAUUGUUGGUUGUGUAAGAGAUACUGGCAAAAAUAUAUUCGAACGCUACAGUCAUUGUAGGUGUUACUAAGUGCUCUGUCAUGUUGGGCUAUUUCGAGAUUCUUCUAGGUGGGUUCUUAGUUGUUAGUUAUCGAUGGUGUAUUGUAGUGUAUGGGUUGCUUUAGGCACCGUUGGUACUUUGAGCUAUACAAAUUCUUCCUUCUUCAGGGCCUUCACCUUCAAGCAGCACUUACUGUACUUGAGAGCAUCUCAUGAUUUUUUAGAGAGAAGUGGUCCAUGAUCUAGGAAGUCCGUAGACUGCAGGGGCGUCAAGGAAUAUAAUUGUUUUGCAGAGAGACUAUAUGUAACUUUGCGGAAUAUUAUACGGUUGACAACCGUGAUUAAAUCUUCCCUCCAUCUCUAAAACUUGAGCUUCGGUUGGUCGAGAGUCUCCAUCCUGGAUGAACGCGAUGUGGUCAAUAUCAUUGGUUGUAUGUUAUCAGCCAGUUGAAAUCGAACUGACCUUAAUGCCCGCUCUAUGCUCGAACAGUGCGCGGCCGAUGAAUCUACAGAAAAUGGGUGGCUGAAUUAAUUCCCUUGGGUAGAAAUUCACUGCGAUCUUUUUCUUUCUUUUAUUCAUUAUAAUUCGAAAUUAUUAUUAUUGCAGUAGUUCCUGCCAUUUAGCCCUUUUGUCGCGGCGCACGCUACUCUCCAUUCCCAAGAGUUUGCCACGCUCGAAGCGGCGCUAAGAGUAUUCAGUUUACUAUGCUCGUGUUCUGGACGCAAUACGCAGGUAUGAUCUCAUUCGAAGUCGAUGUUAGCGCCUCUGUUGUUUCACACAUUUAUCAUUUCCAAGUAAUAUUCUGUCUGAUCCUGGUGUCCAGGAUAUGAGGGCACGUCUUAUGGAUGCUAUAAGUAUUAAUUUAACACCAGAUUGACGUUUACAACCGGCCAGUCUGCCGGAGUACAUCUUUACUUGCUGAGCCGUGAUGCCUCGGUGAGGAUUUUGAUAGUUUGGAACUCUCAACUUGUUCAUGUUUUUGCUGUCUUAACCUCGCUUCUGUGUUGAAAAUUUAUAGAAUGAAGUAUUCCAGAAACAUUGAAAAAUCAUAGAAUAAUAAUUAGGAAAUUAACCUGUUGCGCUUGCAAUUUUGAUUUUGUUCAUAAUGCCUUUGUAGAGUAUAUUAAGAGAUUAUGGCUCUAGGAAUAUUCAUCAUAAUGGUUAGAGGUGUGACAACCGAUGUCCGAUGGGGCCCUAUUGAAGUGUAAAGUGCCCCGGUUCUCGCCGUUUAGUUGAACAAUAUUAAAAAAAUUUCGACAUUGUUGACAUUGGACAAUCAAAACAGAAUCUGCAUUUUGGCAUUUUACAGGUUUCCGAAUUGGUCAUCCUCCAUCCAAAAACAUUUUAUGAAGGAUGUUUCUUUUGCAUGCAGCUAAGAGUUCGCGAAUUCCGGCCGGAAAAUACAAGAAGUGGCAACAACUGGUCUUGUUUAAUAAAGUUUUGAUUCUACAGAGAGACGUUUUGGGAAUUGUUAGACAAUCAUAGAUCCGCAAUCAAAAUCGAAAUCUCUCUUGAUCUUUUGUCAUAACUUAGCCGAGGUGUGACUUUGGAUUUGCUCCUUUCCGCGUUGUAUCUGUGCCCAUACGUCGGUUGCAUAAGGCAAUCUUAACUUCACUUGAUAUUGUCACAGUGCAAAUUUUAUCGGUUAUCAUCGAUGUUGUGACAAUACAAGAUCUAUCUGUUGUAAUUCCCAAAUUGCAUAUCAGGCAGGACAGUUCCAUAAAAAGUUCACAUUUAUUCUUUUCUCUGAAGCGGAAAUUCAAUUGAAAUGUCGAGCACAAAUGAUAAGUGUCCCCGGAAAAAAAAGUUCAAUGCAAGUAUUGCUUUCGGCUCGAAUUUUGAUGUUCCUUGCUGCACUAAAUAUAUAUUAUUUCGAUAUCGAAGCAAAUGUUUUAGCUUUGAAUUGUACAAUUCAGAAGAAUUUUCUUAUCAGUGGCAAAGCCUUGGACAUAUGUUAGCAGAAAUUGAUUGUUAUGUUUCGAAAAAAAGUGUCACGUGUUCCUUCUAAGUUCAUUCAAACAACCUAAUAUAGAGUGUAAGAUUAAAACCAGUAACUAGGAAUAGUUGGAUGGAUAAGAAGGAAUGUAAAGUAGUAAUACCUUUUGUAGUGGAAAAUUGUCAAGUUAUAUAGACUAAUUUAGCGAUUUCAGUUAAAUUCAAUUUAACGGACAAAAAUGUUCAAUUACUUAGCCAAAUUUUGUUGUCGCUUUUGCUGAUCACGGCGGAUGAAACUAAAAUUUCGUUUAAAUCAAAUUAUUGAUAAGUUUAUUCCAAAAUAUGUUAGAAAAUGGACAGUUAGAGACAAUUACACAUAGUGGAAAUGUAAAAGAAAAGUCGAGUGCACCUAAGUAAUUAGGCAAGUAAGAGUAGUAAAGUUAGAGUUGAAUAAGAUUAAAUUAAUGUGAGUUGUAAAGAAAUAAAUCCAUUCGUUCCGUA